AAUUUUUUAAAGGAAUUAUUAUGCAAAAUGUACGUAUAAUAUGAUAUUCCGCGUAUAUAUUUAUUAAAUUGGAUCUGUGAUUGGAUCAGCUGCUAUUCGACCAGUGUCGCUCGUGUAAAAUCAAUUGAAAGAAUCAAAUUAUGUGGACUUGUAACUUGGUCAAUAUCGCGUGGUUGUUUAUAUUUUCACAGAAGUUGACUGUCUCAUUGUAUGAACUGUAGUCACUAGUUAGUAUUCAAAUUGUUAAAUGUUUAUUAUAUAUAUUUUGUUCAUAUUUUUGUUGUUGGAAAGAUGCCAUUAAUGGAAAGUGUAAAUAUCUAUAUUAUGCCCCUUGCACUUAUAACUUAUUCACUUUCCUCUGCUUCCCAUGAGGUUGACAGAACAAAAU